CUCAGAAGUGUCUUCUAUAUGGGAACAGGCUGCUGGGCAGGGGUAAUGGCAGGCCUGCUACUGUUGGACCUUAUUCUCAUAUUGUGCUGUGUCAGAAUCUGGUGUUACUGGAAGAAGAAAUGGAGCACCUCUGGCACUUCACAAGACCGGCCAAAGGCCUCAGCCAUGGAGAACUAGGCCUGUCAUCAUGCAUCUCCGUGCCAGUGUCCGUUGUCCCUGCCAGAGGUGUAUUACCAGCUUAUUGCUGCAAAUAUGCCGCAACCACUGCCUAGAACAGAACCAUCUCUCCCUGAAGGGACUGGCAUCACUCUCCAUCCAGGACAGGAGGUGCAGACCUCUAGCAACUUCAUGGAUUGUUGAAAAAUUAUACUUACUUCUAAAAUUUUUAGAUGUUUAUUAAAAACCUUAUUAGAAAUAUAAGAGGACACUGAAUAAAGACAAUGUUACGGCGCCGGGA